UGGGGAAUAUUGCACAAUGGGGGGAAAACCCCUGAUGCAGCGACGCCGCGUGAGUGAAGAAGUAAUUCGUUACGUAAAGCUCUAUCAGCAGGGAAGAGAAUGACGGUACCUGAGUAAGAAGCCCCGGCUAACUACGUGCC
rnacentral:rRNA from 1 species